GUCGAACGAAUGUUGUUAGGUAGUAAUACCCGACGACGUUAGUGGCGAACGGGUGAGUAACACGUGAGAAUCUGCCGAGAAGUUCGGAAUAACCCAUCGAAAGGUGGGCUAAUACCGGAUGUGGAACAUGUUCUAAAGGUGGGGACCUUCGGGCCUACCGCUUCUCGAUGAGCUCGCGGCCUAUCAGCUAGUUGGUGAGGUAAUGGCUCACCAAGGCGAAGACGGGUAACUGGUCUGAGAGGACGAUCAGUCACACUGGAACUGAGACACGGUCCAGACACCUACGGGUGGCAGCAGUCGAGAAUCAUUCACAAUGGGGGAAACCCUGAUGGUGCGACGCCGCGUGGGGGAUGAAGGGCCUAGGUCCGUAAACCCCUGUCAUUUGUGAGAAAUUCAUGCGAGCUAAUAACUCGUAUGUUGAUAGUAGCAAAAGAGGAAGGGACGGCUAACUCCGUGCCAGCAGCCGCGGUAAUACGGAGGUCCCAAGCGUUGUUCGGAUUCACUGGGCGUAAAGGGUGCGUAGGCGGUGGGAAAAGUUUGAUGUGAAAGCUCCGAGCUCAACUCGGAAACUGCAUUGAAAACUAGCUCACUAGAGGAUCGGAGAGGGGAGUGGAAUUCUUGGUGUAGCAGUGAAAUGUGUAGAUAUCAAGAGGAACACCAGUGGCGAAGGCGACUCCCUGGACGAAUCCUGACGCUGAGGCACGAAGGCUAGGGUAGCAAACAGGAUUAGAUACCCUGGUAGUCCUAGCAGUAAACGGUGCGCACUUGCUGUGGGCGGAUUCGACCCCGUCCGUGGCGGAGCUAACGCGUUAAGUGCGCCGCCUGAGGAGUACGGUCGCAAGGUUAAAACUCAAAGAAAUUGACGGGGGCCUGCACAAGCGGUGGAGUAUGUGGCUUAAUUCGAUGCAACGCGAAGAACCUUACCUGGGUUUGACAUGCAUCUCUAAGUCUGUGAAAGCAGGCGAGUCUUCGGACAAUUUGCACAGGUGCUGCAUGGCUGUCGUCAGCUCGUGUCGUGAGAUGUUGGGUUAAGUCCCGCAACGAGCGCAACC
rnacentral:rRNA from 1 species